rnacentral:lncRNA from 1 species
AGCUCCCCUGGAGCUUCAUUCAUUGAGGCAACCCAAGAUCCCUUGCUAAAAGCAAAACUAAAGCAUUCCACGCCGUUUUCAUUCAGGUGGCCUCCAUUUGACUCCCGACAGCCUGAACUCGUCACGUAGGUAAGAAAACUUUUUAAAGACCAUUUGGACUUUGCUUUGUUUCAGUGAAAUGGGUCGUGAGAAAAAGUGCCUUCCAACGACCAACUCCCUAAAUCCAACACCCUUCUCUUUACAGCGUCUUCACAUCCAACCUUUACAACCAAGACUCUAUACCUCAAACUACAGUGCCUUGGAAAAUUACUGCCACAUCGGCAGAAAACCGAGUUACCUUUCGAGUCAGGUUUGAUUCUGAUGCAGGCAGCCAUGUGCGGCAGGGCUUUCGCACGGUUGCAAGCGCACACCUGGCCGGAUGCUGGCUGCACCACACACUGCCAAGUACAAACUCCCCGAAAAACAGGUGGAUUCGGAAACCAACAGCGCCCGGGUCAGAACUCUGGGCCAGUCCAAAACCUGACAACAUCUGCGUUCCUUGCAGGUAUUUUCGAACGUAAGCCCGACGCUAGGCAGUGCUGUUAGAAAGUGAUUUGGAAGAGCGCUUCCGAGCCACGGCGCGCCCUCCGGGGGAGCGCACCGGAGCAGGUGCGGGCGAGCCCCGCGCCCGGGGAGGUCAGGAAUUCCCCAGCCACACCAGAUCCAACCGGACGCCCCAGAACGGGGACGGUCCCCGGAGUCCGCCUCCCAACCUGGAAGCACCUUGAGGAAGAAAUUGUCUUGUCUACAGCUCUAUCCUCAGUACAGCACCAAGCUUACAGUGGAUGCUCAGUGAAGAUUUGCCGAUUUGCCGAAUGAAUGCUUUCACCCCUGCAACUGUUUACUGCCUGCUAGGAGCUCAGAGCCUCUGGGAUACAGGCUGGGAAUGACAGUGCCUGCUCGCUUGGAAGGCCUCUCUUCUGGAGUCAAUAAAACAGCACUUCUUUGCUUCUUCCUGGCUGGUCCACAUCUUUCACUGAGGAGUGGAUAGUGGAGGGAGAGUUCAUUUCUAGGGCACCACAGCUAUGAGAAAAGCAAGACCAGUGCCCUUGGAGGCCCACUAAAAAGGCCCCCACUGGAUUAUUCCAGCAGGCUCGGCUGGCCUGUUUUCUUCCUCCCCUGGUAGAAUUGUGCCUGCAUUGGCUAUAAAGUCCAUUUGCACACAGAAGGGGUGUGUGUGGAAGGACUCUGCAGAAGUGAAUCCGCUGAGUAAUGCCUGCUUCCUCAGAGGGUGAAUGCCAAGAUGCCUCCAAAGGACAUGAAGGGCUCUGAAGGGGAAGAUGACUGAGGGCACCAUUUUUGAUCACUGCCAAUUAAAAAAAAAAAAAUUCA